rnacentral:rRNA from 1 species
AUUGAACGCUGGCGGCAUGCCUUACACAUGCAAGUCGAACGGCAGCACGGGUGCUUGCACCUGGUGGCGAGUGGCGAACGGGUGAGUAAUACAUCGGAACAUGUCCUGUAGUGGGGGAUAGCCCGGCGAAAGCCGGAUUAAUACCGCAUAAGAUCUACGGAUGAAAGCGGGGGACCUUCGGGCCUCGCGCUAUAGGGUUGGCCGAUGGGGUAUUAGCUAGUUGGUGGGGUAAAGGCCUACCAAGGGGGCGUUCAGUAGCCGAUGUCAGAGGACGGCCAGCCACACUGGGGCUGGACAACCGGCCAGGCGCCUGAGGGAGGGAGCAGUGGGGAAUGUUAGGCAAUGGGGGGAAACCUGGUCCAAGCAUGGCGCGUGUGUUGAAGAGGCCUUCCGGUUGUAAAGCACUCUUGUCCGGAAAGAAAUCCUUGGCCCUAAUACGGUCGGGGGAUGACGGUACCGGAAGAAUAAGCACCGGCUAACUACGUG